rnacentral:rRNA from 1 species
UACGUAGGGUGCGAGCGUUAAUCGGAAUUACUGGGCGUAAAGCGUGCGCAGGCGGCUUUGCAAGACAGAUGUGAAAUCCCCGGGCUCAACCUGGGAACUGUAUUUGUGACUGCAAGGCCAGAGUACGGCAGAGGGGGAUGGAAUUCCGCGUGUAGCAGUGAAAUGCGUAGAUAUGCGGAGGAACACCAAUGGCGAAGGCAAUCCCCUGGGCCUGUACUGACGCUCAUGCACGAAAGCGUGGGGAGCAAACAGG